AGGUAGAAAGUGUCUAGAAAGUCCCAAGAUGAAGCUACUAGUCACUGAGGUGGCAACUACUCUUAUUCACAGAAUGAGACUUUGGCGGGUGGCAGAGGGUGUUAUGAAUGUUGAAAACCAAGAAAACAAGGACUACAAGUGAAGAAAAAGCUCAGGCAGCAUCUCCAUUAUUUGUCUCCAGACAUCUCCUUUAUAGAUUGGGACUCUCAGUUUGUUUUUCAGAUGGGGUCUUGCAUUUUUUGCAUGGGUAGGAAGCUGAGGAACAAGCUGAAAAAAGUACUCUCCCAGCAAGUUACUGACUAAAAUCCUUCCACUCUCACCUUUUAAGUAGCUGGGAUUAUAGAUGUGUGCUGCAUCUCCUGGCUACUAUUUAUAAAAUCUUUUAGAUAAAGAAGAUACAUUCUUUAUAGGUUUUUGUAAAACUCAGACAACAGUGUGUAUCUUUAAGAAUCAGACUGUAUGUAACCCUUUAUAUAUUUUACAAAUAUGAGGUAUUACAAUCUU